rnacentral:tRNA from 1 species
UCCGUUGUUUUUUAGUAUGGUUAGAAUGUCUGGGUUUUUCCCAGGUUUCCUGGGUUCAAAUCCCGGCAACGGAA